rnacentral:misc_RNA from 1 species
UUGCUGGUCAGCGGCAUCACC